rnacentral:misc_RNA from 1 species
UAGCCGAGCCCGCCAGUAUCAGCGAGCCAAUCGCCGAGGGCAGUGCCGAGCGUCUGGGAAAAGGUGAUCGUCACCCAAUAGAAGAUUUCGACUUUUGGCGUUGCGACGGUCAUGACGUCCACGGAGCCCAUGGCAAAAUACCAGAUCGCAAGAGAAGUUAGGACGAGACAAAAGAGGAUCGACGCACCACCGGUGUAACCGAUCCCCAGGGAGCGAUCGAAGAAAUCCGCCAUGGCCGUGCCGACGGUCGUCGACGCCACGAUGGCGAUCCAGUAGACCCAGGCGUUGAAUUUCUUCGUGGAGAUCUGAGCCGCAACUGCGGCAAUGAAGAUGGCAAGGAAUAUUCCGGUGCCGAUCAGAUAUCCGCCGUUGUGUGCAUUCUUGUCA